AUUGAACGCUGGCGGCAUGCCUUACACAUGCAAGUCGAACGGCAGCACGGGUGCUUGCACCUGGUGGCGAGUGGCGAACGGGUGAGUAAUACAUCGGAACGUACCUUAUCGGGGGGGAUUACGCAGCGAAAGCUGUGCUAAUACCGCAUACGCCCUGAGGGGGAAGGCGGGGGAGCGCAAGACCUCGCGCGAUUACAGCGGGCGAUGCCUCAUUAGCUUGUUGGUGGGGCAAAAGCCAACCAAGGCGACGAUCAGUAGCUGGUCUGAGAGGACGAUCAGCCACACUGGGACGGAGACACGGCCCAGACUCCUACGGGAGGCAGCAGUGGGGAAUUUUGGACAAUGGGGGCAACCCUGAUCCAGCAAUGCCGCGUGAGUGAAGAAGGCCUUCGGGUUGUAAAGCUCUUUUGUCAGGGAAGAAACACCGGCUCUAACACAGUCUGGGAAUGACGGUACCUGAAGAAUAAGCACCGGCUAACUUCGUGCCAGCCGCCGCCGUAAUAC
rnacentral:rRNA from 1 species